ACCAGCAGCCAUAUCACCCUGGAACUCACAACUGGCAACCCACUAAAACUAAGCAGAUAUGAGCCUGUUCAGUACCUGAAUGGGAGACCCCCUGGGGAAAAACUAAGGUAGCUGAUUAUU
rnacentral:rRNA from 1 species